rnacentral:rRNA from 1 species
UACGGAGGGGGGCUAGCGUUUGUUCGGAAUUACUGGGCGUAAAGCGCGCGUAGGCGGCUUUUGUAAGUUAGAGGUGAAAGCCCGGAGCUCAACUCCGGAACUGCCUUUAAGACUGCAUCGCUAGAAUCAUGGAGAGGUGAGUGGAAUUCCGAGUGUAGAGGUGAAAUUCGUAGAUAUUCGGAAAGAACACCAGUGGCGAAGGCGACUCACUGGACAUGUAUUGACGCUGAGGUGCGAAAAGCGUGGGGGAGCAAACAGG